UACAGAGGUCCCAAGCGUUGUUCGGAUUCACUGGGCGUAAAGGGUGCGUAGGUGGUCGGGUAAGUCUGAUGUGAAAUCUCCGAGCUCAACUCGGAAAUGGCAUUGGAUACUACUUGGCUAGAGGGUUGGAGGGGGGACUGGAAUACUUGGUGUAGCGGUGAAAUGCGUAGAUAUCAAGAGGAACACCUGAGGUGAAGACGGGUUGCUGGGCCAACACUGACGCUGAGGCGCGAAAGCCAGGGGAGCAAACGGG
rnacentral:rRNA from 1 species